rnacentral:misc_RNA from 1 species
UGGGAACAUUGUUUAUGAGACAUCGAAUGUGUUUGACCGGAUGGUGGUUGUGCUAAAUGACAUUCAUAUUGACAUCAUGGAUUAUAUAUCCCCUGCAGUGUGCAGUGAUGCUGCUUUUAGAACCAUGUGGGCAGAAUUUGAGUGGGAAAACAAGGUUGCUGUCAACACUGUCAUUCAAGAUGAAAAAGAUUUUCUUGACCAUAUAAUCAAAUCAACCAACAUGAAGUGCCUUACUGCGCUGUCUGCUUUGGAAGGGGAAUGCGGGUUUCUCGCUGCUAACUUGUAUGCAAAGAGCGUGUUUGGCGAGGAUGCUUUGGUGAAUGUAAGCAUUGAGAAACAAGCAGAUAGUAAGCUGAGUGGCUACAUUAGGAUUAGGAGCAAGACCCAAGGAAUUGCUCUUAGCUUGGGAGACAAAAUAACACUCAAGCAGAAGGGAGGCUGGGGGAAUUGCAAUGGUGUCAGAAACCCUUAAAGAGCAUGGCGGUGCAGAGGCAGCAAGUUUGAGGAUUGCAGAGCAGUAUAUCCAAGCCUUCAGUAAUAUUGCAAAGGAGGGCACAACGUUGUUGCUUCCUACAAAUGCUUCUGAUCCUGCUAGCAUGAUGUCUCAAGCUCUUGCCGUUUAUAAAAACGUAGUGAGCAAGAACCUUGGCACUCAGCUUCCUGUGACCUCUCAAUCCAAGUUGACCAAAAACACCAGGCAGAGUGAUUCAUCUGCAGUAAGCGGCGAUGACAGCUCUCUUACUGCAAAUUCUGCUGAUGAUCAUCAUCUGAGUGAUCCCAUUUUCUCGCUGCAAAGCCAAAAAAAGGAUGACUGAAUUUUCUUAGCUUUGUGAGUAAGUAGCCUUGCAUGCAUCGAAUUCCUGAGUAGAUAAUUUGGCAAUGAUAAAGAGUGCCUAUUCUUUUGGCGUAGAGCUCUGACUUGCAUGCAUCAUUUUGGUGACAACUCUUUUUUCUGACAACGGCUGCUGAGUUCUGGAUGAGGCUUCUUGGAAAGUAGAAAAGUGGUAGUAAAAAAUUGAAAUGGAAAAAGUGGUAGUUAGGGGUCAUUAUACUGAUCGACUCUCCUUCAAAUUUUGAAGGAUGAUGCAUUUCCAGAGGUUUAUUGUUUGGAGAACUUUAAAGCGUGUGGGAAACAUGUACUUUUCAGUCGCCACUUUUAUAUGCUUUUUUUACAUACGUUUUUCUGGAGACUCAAACUAAUGACAGAAAAGUUUCAUUGUUCAAUAACC